CUAAGAAUAUUCCGCAAUGGGAGGAAUCCUGACGGAGCGACGCCGCGUGAACGAUGAAGGCAGAAAUGUUGUAAAGUUCUUUUAUAUGGGAAGAAUAAGGUUAGGAAUAGAAUGCUUAAUUGAUGACGGUACCAUAUGAAUAAGCCACGGCUAACUACGUGCCAGCAGCCGCGGUAAUACGUAGGUGGCAAGCGUUGUUCGGAAUCAUUGGGCGUAAAGGGCAUGUAGGCGGUUAGAUAAGUGUGAAUUGAAAGACCGAAGCUUAACUUCGCGUUUGGUUUGCAAACUGUCUGACUAGAGUAUGGAAGGGGAGACUGGAAUUCCGUGUGUAGGGGUGAAAUCUGUAGAUAUGCGGAAGAAUACUUGUGGCGAAGGCGAGUCUCUGGUCUGUAACUGACGCUGAAAUGCGAAAGUGUGGGUAGCAAACAGG
rnacentral:rRNA from 1 species